ensembl:snRNA U1 U1 spliceosomal RNA
AUAGUUCCACGACAGGACAAUAGCAUGAUCAUGAAGGUGGGUUUCACGGGAGGAGGUUUAUCCAUUUCACUGUGGAUGUGCUGAUCCUGAGAGUUCCACCAACGUGGGAAACUCAACUUCAUAAGUCGUGGUAAUGAGAACGGUGCUCACACUCUCCCAU